rnacentral:rRNA from 1 species
GCAGGGGAGAGUUUGAUCCUGGCUCAGAUUGAACGCUGGCGGCAGGCCUAACACAUGCAAGUCGAGCGGAUGAAGGGAGCUUNNNCCUGGAUUCAGCGGCGGACGGGUGAGUAAUGCCUAGGAAUCUGCCUGGUAGUGGGGGAUAACGUCCGGAAACGGGCGCUAAUACCGCAUACGUCCUGAGGGAGAAAGUGGGGGAUCUUCGGACCUCACGCUAUCAGAUGAGCCUAGGUCGGAUUAGCUAGUUGGUGGGGUAAAGGCCUACCAAGGCGACGAUCCGUAACUGGUCUGAGAGGAUGAUCAGUCACACUGGAACUGAGACACGGUCCAGACUCCUACGGGAGGCAGCAGUGGGGAAUAUUGGACAAUGGGCGAAAGCCUGAUCCAGCC